CUUGUGGGUAGCGGUGAAAUUCCAAUCGAGCCCGGAGAUAGCUGGUUCUCCCCGAAAUAGCUUUAGGGCUAGCCUCAAGGUGAGAGAUACGGAGGUAGAGCACUGAAUGUCCUAGGGGGUAUUGCACCUACCGAAGACUAUCAAACUCCGAAUGCCGUCAUCUUAUACUUGGGAGUCAGACUGUGGGGGAUAAGAUUCAUAGUCGAAAGGGCAACAGCCCAGAUCGUCAGCUAAGGUCCCUAAAUGUAAGUUAAGUGGUAAAGGAUGUGGGAUUGCACAGACAACCAGGAUGUUGGCUUAGAAGCAGCCACUCAUUCAAAGAGUGCGUAAUAGCUCACUGGUCGAGUGAUCCUGCGCCGAAGAUUUCCGGGGCUAAAACUUACUACCGAAGCUACGGCAUCAGUAAUGAUGGGUAGGGGAGCUUCCCAUACGGGUUGAAGCAUUACCGUAAGGACAUGUGGACAGUAUGGGAGUGAGAAUGUUGGCAUGAGUAGCGAGAUGUGGGUGAGAAUCCCACAGGCCGUAAACCCAAGGUUUCCAGGGGAAGGUUCGUCCGCCCUGGGUUAGUCGGGACCUAAGCUGAGGCCGAAAGGCGUAGGUGAUGGACAACAGGUUGAUAUUCCUGUACUA
rnacentral:rRNA from 1 species